AGUGAGCCGGGCAAUCGCUGGUUUUUGCACUAGUUGCGGAAACUGGAGGAAAGUCCGAACUCCGCAGGGCGUAGCGCUGGGUAACACCCAGGUGUCGUGAGGCAAUGGAAAGUGCCACAGAAAACAAACCGCCUAAGUUCUUCAUUUUUGGAGAGCCGGCAAGGGUGAAAAGGCAGUGUAAGAGACUACCGCGUACUUUGGUGACAAGGUGCGGCACGGUAAACCCCGCUUGGAGAAAGACAAAAUAGGGAAGUGCUUUUUCUUCGGAAAAACGAGGCUGCCCGUCUUGAGCUUCCGGGUAUGUUGCUUGAGGUGCUCAGUAAUGAGCGUCCCAGAUGAAUGAUUGUCCAAGACAGAAUUCGGCUUAUAGGCUAACUUG
rnacentral:RNase_P_RNA from 1 species